rnacentral:rRNA from 1 species
AGUGAACGCUGGCGGUAGGCCUAACACAUGCAAGUCGAACGGCAGCACAGUAAGAGCUUGCUCUUACGGGUGGCGAGUGGCGGACGGGUGAGGAAUACAUCGGAAUCUACUUUUUCGUGGGGGAUAACGUAGGGAAACUUACGCUAAUACCGCAUACGACCUACGGGUGAAAGCAGGGGAUCUUCGGACCUUGCGCGAUUGAAUGAGCCGAUGUCGGAUUAGCUAGUUGGCGGGGUAAAGGCCCACCAAGGCGACGAUCCGUAGCUGGUCUGAGAGGAUGGUGAGCAACCGUGGAAGUGAGAAGGGGUCCGGACUCCUACGGGGGGCAGCAGUGGGGAAUAUUGGAAAAGGGGCGGAGGGUUGUACAAGCCAUUAGGAGGGGGUGAAAAAGGCCUGCGGGUUGUAAAGCCUUUUUGUUGGGAAAAAAAAGAAGCAGGUAAAUAACCCGCGGUUCUGACGGUACCAAAAGAAUAAGCACCGGCUAACUGCGG